UACAGAGGGUGCAAGCGUUGCUCGGAAUCAUUGGGCGUAAAGGGCAGGUAGGUGGUCUGAUUUGUCUGGAGGUGAAAGCCUUGGGCUUAACCCAAGAAGUGCCCCGGAAACGGUCAGACUUUGAGUCUUGGAGAGGGUUGCGGAAUUCCCGGUGUAGCGGUGAAAUGCGUAGAUAUCUGGAGGAAUACCGGUGGCGAAGGCGGCAUCCUGGACCGGCAUUGACGCUGAGGAGCGAAAGCCAGGGGAGCAAACGGG
rnacentral:rRNA from 1 species